UCCCCUACGGGAGGCAGCAGUGAGGAAUAUUGGUCAAUGGUCGGGAGACUGAACCAGCCAAGCCGCGUGAGGGAUGAAGGUACAGAGUAUCGUAAACCUCUUUUGUCAGGGAACAAAGGCGGGGACGUGUCCCCGGAUGAGUGUACCUGAAGAAAAAGCAUCGGCUAACUCCGUGCCAGCAGCCGCGGUAAUACGGAGGAUGCGAGCGUUAUCCGGAUUUAUUGGGUUUAAAGGGUGCGUAGGCGGACUGGAAAGUCAGCGGUAAAAUCGAGAGGCUCAACCUCUUUCCGCCGUUGAAACUGUCG
rnacentral:rRNA from 1 species